GUGUAAAUAAUAUGUUGUAAAAUGCACUAUUUUUUAGACUUGAAAUCUUUUUAUUUUUCAUAGUCAUACGUCUCGAUGUCGAGAUGAUCAAUCAAAGGGUUUUUCAACAUUAAAACUACCUUUUCCAAUGGAUUUUUGAAGGGCAUCUAUAGUACUACAUUAUAAAGUAGUAUCCUUAUAUAAACUUUUUCUAUUAUAUAUUAGGGAAAAUAUCUACAUAUCCCCUAUUUUUAAGUUUUAUUUCUUGAUAAACCCAAUGUUUCAAAAAAUAUCCACCACUUUAAGUUUAUUUUUUAACCUAAACAAAUAUGAUAAAGACAUGCUCUUUCUAAAUCCAAUCAUUUCUCUUUCUUCACUUAUAUAUCCCAAACUAUUCUCUUUCUCUCUCUUCCUUCGUCUCUGACUUUUUCUCUCCUCCCGUGUUUUUCCAAACACUUCUCUCUCCCAAUAACCUCUCACCUCCAUGAAACCCGUCUCUCUCUAAAAGUUUGGGAGGAUGACUUUUAAAAUACGUAUGUCUUUUUAGAUUUUAAAAGAAAUAAAAUCUACAAUUUUUAUGUCUCAAUAUCUUUUAAAACCUUGAGUUUAUUGUAAAGUGAAACUUAAAAAUAGAGGAUAUGGAGAUAUUUUUCCUA
rnacentral:lncRNA from 1 species